rnacentral:lncRNA from 1 species
GAAAUAUACUUUUUACUCCACUUCAUAUCUAUGUGAAUGAGGAUAUUUUGUUCUAAUAUAUAGUAAAUUUCAUUUUUGCCACCUUGACAGAUUUUGCAGAUACACAUAAUCAAACAGCAUUACUUUUUAAAUGUAUACCUUUGACCAAUUUAUGAAUGUUAUCUUUGUAUAAUUUUCUUUUAAGAAUUUUUUUUUUUACAUAUUUUCUUGAUA